rnacentral:rRNA from 1 species
AUGGCGCUGUCGUCAUCCCGGCGUUCCUCCAUUCUCCAUCGUGCCCCGCUUCUCCUUACUAAGGCCGCUGCCGGCGCCCCAAGCGCAACCGCGACGUGCUGCCGCUGCUCUUCUCGCGUGCCACCUGACCUGCGCUGUUGCAGCACCUUCAACACCUCAUCGCCCGCCGCCAUCAACCUCUCCACCUGCAUCCUGCAAGCUCUCGCCGCUGCCCCAAGCGCUCCUGUCCUCGAGCACCUGUUGGCUUCGGAUCCUGUCAAGCGCUCUAACCCGUCACUGCCAUGUCCUUGCAUCCAUCUGGUGAUGUUGUUUUCACGAAGCCACUGUACCAUGGCCACAAACGAGACCCGUCGGUCAUCACCAAGACCCGCUGCGUUGACUAGAUCAGUGUCGUUCCAGGCCAAUGCACUGUGCUACUACGCUGAGAGAACCCGGAUAUGCCAAGACUCGGACCGACAAGUACCAUGGCACCGAAGACAUUUGAUGCGUCAAGUCCCUUUUUGA